AACGAACGCUGGCGGCAGGCCUAACACAUGCAAGUCGAGCGAAGCCUUCGGGCUUAGCGGCGGACGGGUGAGUAACGCGUGGGAACGUGCCCUUUGGUACGGAAUAGCCCCGGGAAACUGGGAGUAAUACCGUAUGUGCCCUUCGGGGGAAAGAUUUAUCGCCAAAGGAUCGGCCCGCGUUGGAUUAGGUAGUUGGUGGGGUAAUGGCCUACCAAGCCGACGAUCCAUAGCUGGUUUGAGAGGAUGAUCAGCCACACUGGGACUGAGACACGGCCCAGACUCCUACGGGAGACAGCAGUGGGGAAUCUUAGACAAUGGGGGAAACCCUGAUCUAGCCAUGCCGCGUGAUCGAUGAAGGCCUUAGGGUUGUAAAGAUCCUUCAGUGGGGAAGAUAAUGACUGUACCCACAGAAGAAGCCCCGGCUAACUCCGUGCCAGCCGCCGCGGUAAAAC
rnacentral:rRNA from 1 species